rnacentral:rRNA from 1 species
UACGUAGGGGGCAAGCGUUGUCCGGAUUUAUUGGGCGUAAAGAGCGUGUAGGCGGCCAAACAGGUCCACUGUGAAAACUGGAGGCUCAACCUUCAGAGGUCGACCGAAACCAUCUGGCUAGAGUCCGGGAGAGGAGAGUGGAAUUCCUGGUGUAGCGGUGAAAUGCGCAGAUAUCAGGAAGAACACCCGUGGCGAAAGCGGCUCUCUGGAACGGUACUGACGCUGAGACGCGAAAGCGUGGGGAGCGAACAGG